GAUGAACGCUCGCUACAGGCUUAACACAUGCAAGUCGAGGGGCAGCAUGAACUUAGCUUGCUAAGUUUGAUGGCGACCGGCGCACGGGUGAGUAACACGUAUCCAACCUGCCGAUGACUCGGGGAUAGCCUUUCGAAAGAAAGAUUAAUACCCGAUGGCAUAGUUCUUCCGCAUGGUAGAACUAUUAAAGAAUUUCGGUCAUCGAUGGGGAUGCGUUCCAUUAGGUUGUUGGCGGGGUAACGGCCCACCAAGCCUUCGAUGGAUAGGGGUUCUGAGAGGAAGGUCCCCCACAUUGGAACUGAGACACGGUCCAAACUCCUACGGGAGGCAGCAGUGAGGAAUAUUGGUCAAUGGACGAGAGUCUGAACCAGCCAAGUAGCGUGAAGGAGGACUGCCCUAUGGGUGGUAAACUUCUUUUAUACGGGAAUAAAGUGAGGCACGUGUGCCUUUUUGUAUGUACCGUAUGAAUAAGGAUCGGCUAACUCCGUG
rnacentral:rRNA from 1 species